GACGAACGCUGGCGGCGUGCCUAAUACAUGCAAGUCGAGCGAAGCGGCGGAUGGGUGAGUAACGCGUGGGUAACCUGCCCUUAAGUCUGGGAUACCAUUUGGAAACAGAUGCUAAUACCGGAUACUAAAGGAUGGACCUGCGAUGCAUUAGCUAGUUGGUAAGGUAACGGCUUACCAAGGCGAUGAUGCAUACCCGAGUUGAGCGACUUAUCGGCCACAUUGGUACUUGGACCCGGCCCGAACUCCUACGGGCGGCAGCAGUAGGGACUCUUCCACACUGGACGAAAGUCUGAUGGGGCAACGCCGCGUGAGUUAAGAAGUUUUUCGGUUCGUAACGCUCUGUUGUUGGUGAAGCGGUAAUCAACCAGAAAGUCACGGCUAACUACGUGCCAGCAGCCGCGGUAAUUC
rnacentral:rRNA from 1 species